AACGAACGCUGGCGGCAUGCCUAACACAUGCAAGUCGAACGAGACCUUCGGGUCUAGUGGCGCACGGGUGCGUAACGCGUGGGAACCUGCCCUUAGGUUCGGAAUAACUCCCCGAAAGGGGUGCUAAUACCGGAUAAUGUCUUCGGACCAAAGAUUUAUCGCCUUUGGAUGGGCCCGCGUUGGAUUAGCUAGUUGGUAGGGUAAAAGCCUACCAAGGCGACGAUGCAUAGCUGGUUUGAGAGGAUGAUCAGCCACACUGGGACUGAGACACGGCCCAGACUCCUACGGGAGGCAGCAGUGGGGAAUAUUGGACAAUGGGCGAAAGCCUGAUCCAGCAAUGCCGCGUGAGUGAUGAAGGCCUUAGGGUUGUAAAGCUCUUUUACCCGGGAUGAUAAUGACAGUACCGGGAGAAUAAGCUCCGGCUAACUCCGUG
rnacentral:rRNA from 1 species